AACGAACGCUGGCGGCAUGCCUAACACAUGCAAGUCGAACGAGAUCUUCGGGUCUAGCGGCGCACGGGUGCGUAACGCGUGGGAAUCUGCCCUUUGGUUCGGAAUAACAGUUGGAAACGACUGCUAAUACCGGAUGAUGACGAAAGUCCAAAGAUUUAUCGCCAGAGGAUGAGCCCGCGUAGGAUUAGCUAGUUGGUGUGGUAAAGGCGCACCAAGGCGACGAUCCUUAGCUGGUCUGAGAGGAUGAUCAGCCACACUGGGACUGAGACACGGCCCAGACUCCUACGGGAGGCAGCAGUGGGGAAUAUUGGACAAUGGGCGAAAGCCUGAUCCAGCAAUGCCGCGUGAGUGAUGAAGGCCUUAGGGUCGUAAAGCUCUUUUACCCGGGAUGAUAAUGACAGUACCGGGAGAAUAAGCUCCGGCUAACUCCGUGCCAGCAGCCGCCGUAA
rnacentral:rRNA from 1 species